rnacentral:rRNA from 1 species
UACGUAGGGGGCAAGCGUUGUCCGGAUUUAUUGGGCGUAAAGAGCGUGUAGGCGGUCAGGUAGGUCCGUUGUGAAAACUCGAGGCUCAACCUCGAGACGCCGAUGGAAACCAUCUGACUAGAGUCCGGAAGAGGAGAGUGGAAUUCCUGGUGUAGCGGUGAAAUGCGCAGAUAUCAGGAAAACACCCGUGGCUAAGGCGGCUCUCUAGUACGGUACUGACGCUGAGACGCGAAAGCGUGGGGAGCGAACAGG